UUUGGGUUAGAAGUGUUUACAAGGUGUAAGUUUGUCUUUUGUAAACCUAAGUAAGAUGGUCAUUUGAAUUGGUAGCUCAAACUGGUACCUCAAAAAAUAGCCAACUUACAUGGAUGGCAUUUACAGGUCGGGAAGAAAACAGUGCAUUUCCUUUUUAGAGUCCACUGGAAACAGCCUAGUGCGUAGUGGUGUGGACUCCGGAGCCAGGCCACCUGGGCCCUGCACGUGUGUGGCUUUAGGAACUGGGCAUCAGGAAUCAUUGCCUUAAUCCACUUAAAUGAGUCAAUCCAUGUAAAUAAAUUUACACGUGGUAGGUGAGCUACGUCUUAGGUGUUGUUAUUUUUUUCUCUACGGUUAUGCACUGUGUUACUGAUGGGGACCAUUAUUUUCCUGUGUAGGUGUGGAACUUUUCCGCCAUGAAUGUCUCUUACAAUCACCAUCUCAGCUGCAGCUGCAGUUGGUAUGUGACGAUCUCCGGUGUUUUGUGGCUUCUGAUUCAAGAAACGAUCUUAAAGAUUGAACUACGUUGUAUGUUUCCUGAUUCUCAGGUGUUCUUUUCUCAUUGCUGGCUUCUCGUCAUCCAGUGAAGUGACCUUCUGCUCCCAGGCCUGCAGCCCACAAGGCUGCUCUCCUCGGCAGUGGCAAUGCCGUGUGAGCCGUGAGUCCCCCCUCCACCUUCCCGUCCAUCACACACCGUCUGCAGCUGCGCCUCUUCUCCCACGCCUCACUUACUGCUUUUCUUUGGACAGCCCCCUGGGACACAAAGGUUGAAUUGAUUGUAAACCUCCUGGAGUCAUCCCAGUUCCUAGAAUAACAG